CCUACGGGAGGCAGCAGUGGGGAAUAUUGCACAAUGGGCGCAAGCCUGAUGCAGCGACGCCGCGUGAGGGAUGACGGCCUUCGGGUUGUAAACCUCUUUCAGUAGGGAAGAAGCGAAAGUGACGGUACCUGCAGAAGAAGCACCGGCUAACUACGUGCCAGCAGCCGCGGUAAUACGUAGGGUGCGAGCGUUAUCCGGAAUUAUUGGGCGUAAAGAGCUCGUAGGCGGUUUGUCGCGUCUGUCGUGAAAGUCCGGGGCUUAACCCCGGAUCUGCGGUGGGUACGGGCAGACUAGAGUGCAGUAGGGGAGACUGGAAUUCCUGGUGUAGCGGUGGAAUGCGCAGAUAUCAGGAGGAACACCGAUGGCGAAGGCAGGUCUCUGGGCUGUAACUGACGCUGAGGAGCGAAAGCAUGGGGAGCGAACAGGAUUAGAUACCCUGGUAGUCCAUGCCGUAAACGUUGGGCACUAGGUGUGGGGACCAUUCCACGGUUUCCGCGCCGCAGCUAACGCAUUAAGUGCCCCGCCUGGGGAGGACGGCCGCGAGACUAAACUACAAGAAGUAGACGGCGNGAGACGUGCCGACGGACGACGACGAGGGAGUAGG
rnacentral:rRNA from 1 species